rnacentral:rRNA from 1 species
UACGGGGGGAGCAAGCGUUGUUCGGAUUUACUGGGCGUAAAGGGCGCGUAGGCGGCCACCGCAAGUCAAUUGUGAAAUCUCCGGGCUUAACUCGGAAAGGUCAACUGAUACUGCGGGGCUAGAGUGCGGAAGGGGCAACUGGAAUUCUCGGUGUAGCGGUGAAAUGCGUAGAUAUCUCGAAGAACACCAGUGGCGAAGGCGAUCUGCUGGGUCAGUACUGACACUGAGGUACGAAAGCGUGGGUAGCGAACGGG